UGCUGUCUAAAUCGGGUUGAUGGACAAA
rnacentral:piRNA from 1 species